rnacentral:tRNA from 1 species
GGCAGUAUGGCCUAGUAGAUACAGCACUGGAUUGGAAUUUGGGAGACCUGGGUUAAAAUCCUGGCUCUGCCA